AACUCCCGCGUGAUCCGGUUCGAGGACACUGCCAGGCGGGUAGUUUGACUGGGG
rnacentral:rRNA from 1 species